UCCGUAGGGUGCGAGCGUUGUCCGGAAUUAUUGGGCGUAAAGAGCUCGUAGGCGGUUUGUCGCGUCUGCUGUGAAAACUCGGGGCUUAACUCCGGGCCUGCAGUGGGUACGGGCAGACUAGAGUGCGGUAGGGGAGACUGGAAUUCCUGGUGUAGCGGUGAAAUGCGCAGAUAUCAGGAGGAACACCGGUGGCGAAGGCGGGUCUCUGGGCCGUAACUGACGCUGAGGAGCGAAAGCGUGGGGAGCGAACAGG
rnacentral:rRNA from 1 species